CAUCCAAGAGAGAUGUUUUGAUGAUUUAAUUCUGGCAGAGAAAAUGAGUAGAACUUGUAAUGGAAGAGAAAAAACAAAGAAGAAAGAGUGGAAAUAUGGUUUUCGGCUCCUUCUAUUUGACUUCAAAGCUUGAGGAAACCAAAACUAUUUUGGGUUUCAGCAGCUGCUCCCUUGACAACAGUUAUUCUGUCAACUAUUCUAGUCUUUCUUCUCAGAGACAAGGCUCAUCAAAUUGCAAUUAUUGAGAACUUACCAAAGG